rnacentral:lncRNA from 1 species
AAAAUUAGAACCCAAUACAUUAGGGCUCAAUCUUUUCGAAGAUUCUAAAUACGAGCAUUGCCUUUGUUUUUGAAAUUUUCCAUUUUUUUGUGAGUUUGAGUAAAAAACGAUAUAAUGUUUUAUUAAAUGUAAAAUACAAUAAUAAAUACAACAAUGGCAUGGAAAUAAUAUAAAAAAUAAAUAAAAGAAAUUAAUGUACAUAAAGAAAAUAACCAACGACAUGCAAAG